AUGGAGAGGAACGGUGGCGGACGCGCCGCGACCAUUGCGGUGCCGCUUAUCGCCUUCGUCAUCGCGGCAGCGGCCGUCGUGCUGCCGUCAACUGUCUCCGGAGGUGGAAGAACAGGGAGCCAUAGCAGAGAGUACAGGGAGCACUUCGUGCGGCGCGUCCCGGGCGAGCCCCAGAAAGCGAGGCUGCUACCGGAUCUCCGUGUCAAGGUGGUUGAAGGCGUGAUCGAGGAAGGCCUGGCUCGGUCUCGGGCGGCCAUCCGCCGGGCGACUCGCGCGCCCAGGGACGAGAGCGUCCGCCGGAUACGGAGCUUCAGGGACGUCGGCGACGCUUUUGCGCCGCGAGGCGCAAUCUACCGCAACGCCAUGGCCUUCCACAGGAGCUACGUGGAGAUGGAGAGGAGAAUGAAGAUAUGGACGUACCAGGAGGGGGAGCCGCCGCUGGCGCACCUCGGCCCGGGCACCGACAUCUACUCCAUCGAGGGCCAGUUCCUGUACGAGAUAGAGGACCCCCGGAACCGCUUCGCCGCGCGCCGCCCCGUCGAGGCCAACGUCUUCCUGCUUCCCAUCAGCGUGUGCAACCUCGUCCACUACGUCUACCGCCUCAACACCACCGCCUACCUCGCGCCGCUGCGCCGCCUGGUCGCGGACUACGUCCACGUCGUCGCCGAGAGGCACCCGUACUGGAACCGGUCCGGCGGCGCCGACCACGUCCUCGUGUCGUGCCACGACUGGGCGCCGCUGGUCUCGGAGGGGAACCGGCAGCUCUACAGCAACACCAUCCGGGUUCUGUGCAACGCCAACACGUCGGAGGGCUUCAGGCCCAGGAAGGACGCGACGCUGCCGGAGGUGAACCUCGCCGACGGCGUCCUCCGCAGGCCUACGUUCGGCCUGCCGCCCGAGAACCGGACGACACUCGCCUUCUUCGCCGGCGGGAUGCACGGCGAGAUACGCAGGAGCCUCCUGCAGCACUGGGUCGGCAGAGACCCGGACAUGCACGUCCACGAGUACCUCCACGCCGGGCAGGACUACCACGCGCUCAUGGCCAGGGCGCGGUUCUGCCUCUGCCCCAGCGGCUUCGAGGUGGCGAGCCCGAGGGUGGUGGAGUCUGUCUUCGCCGGCUGCGUGCCGGUGAUCAUCUCGGAGGGGUACCCGCUGCCCUUCAGUGACGUGCCGGACUGGAGCAAGAUGUCGGUGACGGUGCCGGCGGCUAGGAUACCGGAGCUGAAGGUCAUCCUGCGGGGCGUGUCAGAGAGGAGGUACCGUGUGCUGCAUGCCAGGGUGCUGCAGGCGCAGCGGCACUUCGUGCUCCACCGGCCGGCGAGGCGGUUCGACAUGAUUCACAUGGUGCUGCACUCCAUCUGGCUCAGGAGGCUCAACGUCAGGCUACCAUACUGA
rnacentral:rRNA from 1 species